rnacentral:tRNA from 17 species
AUACGGUCGGAUUUCAAACUUGUUGCGGUUGGGCAUUGCGGCCCAAAGUUGGUUGGAUU